rnacentral:rRNA from 1 species
UCGAGAAUUUUUCACAAUGGGCGCAAGCCUGAUGGAGCGACGCCGCGUGGGGGAUGAAGGGUUUCGAUCCGUAAACCCCUGUCAUUUGCGAACAAACCUUGAUUGUGAACAGCGAUCAAGCUGAUUGUAGCGGAAGAGGAAGGGACGGCUAACUCUGUGCCAGCAGCCGCGGUAAUACAGAGGUCCCAAGCGUUGUUCGGAUUCACUGGGCGUAAAGGGUGCGUAGGUGGCCGGUGAAGUUCGGUGUGAAAGCUCGGAGCUCAACUCCGAAAUGGCAUUGAAAACUCAUCGGCUGGAGGGUCGGAGGGGAGACUGGAAUUCUCGGUGUAGCAGUGAAAUGCGUAGAUAUCGAGAGGAACACCAGUGGCGAAGGCGAGUCUCUGGACGACUCCUGACACUGAGGCACGAAAGCCAGGGGAGCAAACAG